AUUCUGAAAGGGCAUUAUUUCAGCAUUACUUUGUUAGGGAGGCAGUGGGGGCCCUUGGGAGGAAACCCCAUGGUCCUUCCGCUUGGGGCAACCAGCUCAGGAGGAAGUACCAUGUGCUGGUUCCCAACUCAGCGGGAGAGUCAACAGUGUGUUCUCGUGGGCCAGCCAGGCAUCAGGGAUCCUGCUCCCUGGAAGCCUCUCUGUGAGCUCCCUGCCCCGUGGCUGCAAGCAUAUCCGAGGCUAAGGCGGGCCUUCCAGGAGGCUCACACUCAGCCAGGCUUCUCUGUGGAGGUAAGGGCACCAGAACGCGGAAUAAACUUGUACUAAGAACAUAUACCUUCUAUCACAAGUUGGGUGCACUGGGAAACAGACUCCGACAGAGACUUCGGCUUGCAGGAGGUUUACAGGGGAAGGCUCUCACAGUGGAGGAAGCAGAACCAGGCAGAGGGAACAGUUGAAUUGUGAUGUAGUCACAACAAAGGCCUCAGCUGACCCCAUGGGGAGCUGUGAGCUGGGGGGACUUUCAGAGUCGCUCUGCAUUAAGAUGGAAAAAAGAAGCUUGGAGAAGGGGAAAUGACUUUACCCAGCUAAGAAUAUGGCAAAGCUGAGCCAACUAGUCAAGUUUUCUGACCCCAAAUCCUGUAUUUCCCAUGACUCAUCUUGUGGAAGGCUGAG
rnacentral:lncRNA from 1 species